rnacentral:rRNA from 1 species
UUAUGAUCUCAAUCGAGUGUGACUACCCGCUGAACUGAAGCAUAUCAGUAAGCGGAGGUAUAUGAACUAAAACGAUUCCCAUAGUCACCGGCGGA